rnacentral:rRNA from 1 species
AUGAUGGCCGGGAAAAUGACAAUUCUAGUGAUCAUGUUUCUGGUCCUAUUAACCAUUGAAGAACCCAGUAGUGGAGAGCAACUAGGCCGCCAAAAGUUUAUUGGUGGUGGUGCUUCACCUUUAUCUCCCGGACGAGGUGGGAAGGCUUUGGCUCCAUCUACAGGAACAGAUAGAGGCGAUGAUAAUUUGGCUCCAGUGCUACCACUCAGACAUGAUUGCAAGGAAACAAAGGCAUAUGGCCCGCCAUGUCGUGACGUUCAUCCAGUAAUCGUCUGUGAACUCUAUUGCACCGGGUUACACUUUAAUGGUGGCCGUUGUCGUGGCCCUAGCCCUAAUGAUUUUUGUUAUUGCUCUUCGUGUUGA